CAUACCUAACUCAGGUCCCCCAUAUAUUCGGAGCAACAUCUAGAAUACAAUGUCAUGGUCGUAACAAAGUAUGGAGAGACCUUCAUCAGUUAAAAAAUAUGGACACCCAUUGCCUUGAUGAUUUUGUUUCUCAUAUGUUCGCUGCCUAUGUUCAUAACCACGAACCAAGCUGUCAUAAUGCCUGCAAUAGUUCUUCUACUCACACUUCUCACACUACUCACACUCAGGGUACUUCACCUCCUACGACUACACAAUCCUCCCACCACCACCAC